UACGAGAGGCCCAAACGUUAUUCGGAAUUACUGGGCUUAAAGAGUCCGUAGGCGGCGCGGAAAGUGGGGUGUGAAAUCCCUCGGCUCAACCGAGGAAUUGCGCUCCAAACUGCCGUGCUUGAGGAACCUAGAGGUGAGCAGAACUGAUGGUGGAGCGGUGAAAUGCGUUGAUAUCAUCAGGAAUACCGGAGGCGAAGGCGGCUCACUGGGGGUUUUCUGACGCUGAGAGACGAAAGCCAGGGUAGCGAACGG
rnacentral:rRNA from 1 species